GGUCCCAUGGUCUAGUGGUUAGGACGCUGGCCUCUCAAGCCGGUAACACGGGUUCGAAUCCCGUUGGGACCGCCA
rnacentral:tRNA from 1 species